rfam:Oryza sativa Japonica Group DNA, chromosome 9, cultivar: Nipponbare, complete sequence.
AAAAAAAUAAACCCUGAGUUUGCGUGUCCAACUCUGACUGUCCGUCUUAUAUGAAAAUUUUUUAUAAUUCGUAUUUUUAUUGUUGUUAGAUGAUAAAACAUGAUUAAUAUUUUAUAUGUGACUUAUCUUUUUAAUUUUUUUCAUAACUUUUUCAAAUAAGACGGAAGAUUAAACGUUGGAUACGGAAAAAAGGGUUUAUCUUUUU